AAUCUGGGGCCCCAGGCCUCCGAGUUGUAAUUUGGAGAGGCAUCUUCGGGGAGGGGGCGCGGGCCCAUGUUCCUUGGAACAGGACGUCGCAGAGGGUGAGAAUCCCGUGCCAGGCCGGCUGCCUCCGCCCCAGUGAAGGGCCUUCGACGAGUCGAGUUGUUUGGGAAUGCAGCUCCAAGUGGGUGGUAAAUUUCAUCUAAAGCUAAAUACCGGCGGGAGACCGAUAGCGCACAAGUAGAGUGAUCGAAAGAUGAAAAGCACUUUGAAAAUAGAGUCAAAAAGUACGUGAAAUUGUUGAAAGGGAAGCGCUUGAGACCAGACUCGGACCCGGGCAAACAUCGCGCCCCCCGGGGCCGUGCAAUUGCCUGGGGCCGGGCCAGCAUCGGUUGGCGUGGCGGGACAAAGGCGCGGGGAAUGUGGCUCCCCUCGGGGAGUGUUAUUAGGCCCGCGCCCAAUGCCGCCUACGCCGACUGAGGACCGCGCCGCCCGGCUAGGAUGCUGGCUUAAUGGCCUUCAGCGACCCGUCUUGAAACACGGACCAAGGAGUCUAACAUCUAUGCGAGUGUUUGGGCUUGAAACCCUUGCGCGGAAUGAAAGUGAGCGGAGGUGGGAACCCCCCCGCGGGGCGCACCAUCGACCGAUCCUGAUGUCUUCGGAUGGAUUUGAGUAC
rnacentral:rRNA from 1 species